rfam:Callithrix jacchus chromosome 11, whole genome shotgun sequence
CAACCAAACACGCGUUCUUAGCUGGCCGGUGUGGCACAACCCUCCCCCCACCUCCCUUUCAGGGCCUUCGCCAGUGUGGGAGCCUCGUCUCACUGGAGAGUCCCCUCAG